rnacentral:rRNA from 1 species
UACGUAGGGCGCAAGCGUUGUCCGGAAUUAUUGGGCGUAAAGAGUUCGUAGGCGGUCUGUCGCGUCCGUUGUGAAAGCCCAGGGCUCAACCCUGGGUCUGCAGUGGAUACGGGCAGACUAGAGUCAGGUAGGGGAGAACGGAAUUCCUGGUGUAGCGGUGAAAUGCGUAGAUAUCCGGAGGAACACCGGUGGCGAAGGCGGCUUCCUGGACCGAUUACUGACGCUGAGGCGCGAAAGCUAGGGGAGCAAACGGG